CAUCCAAAAUGGCUAGCCGAAAGUUAUUAUUUGGGUUCCUUGAUCCUGUAUAAGUACCUAAGAUCUACCUAGCAAAGAACAAAUAUAGGACUAAACACAUGUCCACACGGGUCCUCACAUAUAUACUCCCUUCAUUCAAACCUUGACGUUCUCGUCAGGCUAAGGUUUAAGAGUUCAAAUCCAUUCAAAUCUAAUAACAAACACCACAAUCAGCUCGUGGUCAGCCCC
rnacentral:lncRNA from 1 species